rnacentral:rRNA from 1 species
GACAGAGGGUGCGAACGUUGUUCGGAAUUACUGGGCGUAAAGCGCGUGUAGGCUGUUGCGCAAGUCGGGUGUGAAAGCCCUGGGCUCAACCCAGGAAGUGCACUCGAAACUGCGUAACUAGAGUCUCGGAGAGGGAGGCGGAAUUCUCGGUGUAGAGGUGAAAUUCGUAGAUAUCGAGAGGAACACCAGUGGCGAAGGCGGCCUCCUGGACGAUGACUGACGCUGAGACGCGAAAGCGUGGGGAGCAAACAGG